UUUACAUGCCUGUCUCUCCCACUAGAUGGUGCAACCACACAGAGACGUCAUCUGAUUUACCUAGCGUGGUGCUUGGCACAUAGUAGGUGCUCAAAAAAUUACUUGAAUGAAUGAAUGAAUAAAUGUGCUUCAUCUUAGUUGACAAAGCAACGGGAGAGGCUGGAGAUGGACUUGGUACGGAUCCACCCUGCAACUUCCCUUGAGGCAUCCACCCUUUCCUCGUUCCUCACAACCCUUCCAAAGCAAAGCUGUUCAACUGUGAGAUUUGCAAUUUGAUUUACUCCUGAGUGACAUCAUAGCCAUUACCAUGGCAACACCCAGCGAUGCCUGUCUGCCAGACAAAGUCUCUCCCAUCAGCAAAGGGCAGAUGGACACCCAGGAUGGAAAGGAGCCAUUUGUGAGGCACAAGCAUCAGCCUUUGCUGCCCUGCAGCCAGGGGCUGAUGGAGCUGGUGCUGGUAUAUCAGGGGGCCACUUAGACUUCCUUCAUCCCCAGAAUCAAAGGGACCAGAAACUUAGAAGAUGUCACAAUUUUAUCUGCUACUGACCCUGCAGGCAGGGCUGCCUGGUGGUGAAACAAUAUGGUAUGUAACAGAGUCGAGACAGGUUUGUGUAGGAUGGAUGCAGGCUCCAACCCUGUGCUGCACUGCCUGGCUGCCCGAUCUCCCUCAACGAGCCUCAGUUUUUCACCUGUAAAGUGGGGAUAAUGCGUCCACAUCUCAGGAUCAUUGUGAAGAGUGAGGACAUCACAUAUAAAAAAACUGGCCCACAGAAAGCAUGGAGUAAAUGCCAGCUGUUACAGCAGCUUCUGUAGGAAGGCAGAGCCUGCCUUGCAGCCACUCCACUGGCAAACGUGUCAAUAGGAAGAGUGAGAAGUGAGCAGUGCCUCCUGAGCUGAUGCCUACAGAGGAGCUGUGACAAUCUGCCUCUAGAACAACCUCAGCAAGCUGCCUGGCCCAGGGGAAAUCCAACCGUGGUGACUUUGCCCAGAUUCUGCAAGAUGCUUUCUAAUUGUUGGUGUUCACGAGGGACAAGCAACAGCUGAGCUCAUUCCCUUCCUAUCAAUUUGCAACAUCUGCCCCAGCCCUUACUGACAGUAGAGAAAAAUAAGGACUUUCCGAUCACACCUUUAGGCCACCAAUCUUCAAUGAGUUACUGGGCCCUUCCAGAAAUCAGAUUUUCUAACUGGUCCCUGCAUUGGCUCCAGCAGCUUUGGAGUGGAAAUCCAAAAGCAUGGGAAGACCCUGGGCCGAGGGAGCAGAGGCUGAAACUCUGGGAAAAGCUGUGAGGACCACAAAAGUGGUUGGGCCCCUAAUGGCCUCAAGACCCGGGGUACAACAAACCCCACAGGAGGCCCAAUGACACCCCCUGUCCUAACUCAGCUCAGGAAGAGGCAGCUGCCAUGGUUUAAAGAAUGUGGGUUUUUAGGGUAGAUAGACCCCACAUCUGCUCCAUA
rnacentral:lncRNA from 1 species